rnacentral:rRNA from 1 species
ACGGGGUGCAGCAGGCGCGAAACCUCCGCAAUGCGGGAAACCGCGACGGGGGGACCCCCAGUGCCGUGCCUCUGGCACGGCUUUUCCGGAGUGUAAAAAGCUCCGGGAAUAAGGGCUGGGCAAGGCCGGUGGCGCCGCCGCGGUAAUACCGGCGGCCCGAGUGGUGGCCACUAUUAUUGGGCCUAAAGCGGCCGUAGCCGGGCCCGUAAGUCCCUGGCGAAAUCCCACGGCUCAACCGUGGGGCUCGCUGGGGAUACUGCGGGCCUUGGGACCGGGAGAGGCCGGGGGUACCCCCGGGGUAGGGGUGAAAUCCUAUAAUCCCGGGGGGACCGCCAGUGGCGAAGGCGCCCGGCUGGAACGGGUCCGACGGUGAGGGCCGAAGGCCCAGGGGAGCGAACCGGAUUAGAUACCCGGGUAGUCCUGGCUGUAAAGGAUGCGGGCUAGGUGUCGGGGCGAGCUUCGAGCUCGCCCGGUGCCGUAGGGAAGCCGUUAAGCCCGCCGCCUGGGGAGUACGGCCGCAAGGCUGAAACUUAAAGGAAUUGGCGGGGGAGCAC